rfam:Camelus ferus unplaced genomic scaffold scaffold959, whole genome shotgun sequence.
GAGGGUAUAGUUCAGUGGUAGAGUACAUUCUUAGCAUGCACCAGGUCCUGGGUUCAAUCCCUAGUACCUCCA